rnacentral:rRNA from 1 species
GAUGAACGCUCGCUACAGGCUUAACACAUGCAAGUCGAGGGGAAACGAUGAGAGAGCUUGCUCUCUUAGGCGUCGACCGGCGCACGGGUGAGUAACGCGUAUCCAACCUACCCAUUACAGGGGGAUAACCUUGCGAAAGUAAGACUAAUACCCCAUGGCAUUUUAUGGUGGCAUCAUUAUAGGAUUAAAGAUUUAUUGGUAAUGGAUGGGGAUGCGUCUGAUUAGCUUGUUGGCGGGGUAACGGCCCACCAAGGCAACGAUCAGUAGGGGUUCUGAGAGGAAGGUCCCCCACAUUGGAACUGAGACACGGUCCAAACUCCUACGGGAGGCAGCAGUGAGGAAUAUUAGUCAAUGGGCGAGAGCUUGAACCAGCCAAGUAGCGUGCAGGAUGACGGCCCUAUGGGUUGUAAACUGCUUUUAGAGGGGAAUAAAGUGAGGUACGGGUAGUUUAUUGCAUGUACCCUAUGAAUAAGGACCGGCUAAUUCCGUG